UCAAUUUUUUACAUCUGGUUUUUUUUUCUUCAUUUUUGCCCGAUGUAAUAUAGUUACGUUUUCCUCUUGCAGUACGGUCACUUUGUUACUCGGAAGCUACCUCCAUUACAUAGUAGUCUGAAAAUUUAGUUUUCCCUCAGUUCAUACCUUCUUCUCUUGUGAAACAUAUAAUAUCAAAAAUAACGAACUCCAAGGAAAAUUCCUAACGGAAAGUCCUUUAUAACAUAAAAUCAAUAACUCAAAAACGUCUAACAAAUGUAUGGAAAACAACUGUCAUAUUUCC
rnacentral:lncRNA from 1 species